AAUCUGGAGACAGGUGGCUGCAUGGCUGUCGUCAGCUUGUGUCGUGAGAUGUUGGGUUAAGUCCCGCAACGAGCGCAACCCUUGCCUUUAGUUGCCAGCAGUUCGGCUGGGCACUCUAAAGGGACUGCCGGUGUUAAACCGGAGGAAGGUGGGGAUGACGUCAAGUCCUCAUGGCCUUUAUGACCAGGGCUACACACGUACUACAAUGGCCGAUACAAAGGGCAGCGACACUGCGAGGUGAAGCCAAUCCCGUAAAAUCGGUCUCAGUCCGGAUUGGAGUCUGCAACUCGACUCCAUGAAGUUGGAAUCGCUAGUAAUCGUGGAUCAGCAUGCCACGGUGAAUACGUUCCCGGGCCUU
rnacentral:rRNA from 1 species